rnacentral:rRNA from 1 species
GACGAACGCUGGCGGCGCGCCUAACACAUGCAAGUCGAACGGAGCUGAGAGGAGCUUGCUUUUCUUAGCUUAGUGGCGAACGGGUGAGUAACGCGUGAGUAACCUGCCCUGGAGUGGGGGACAACAGUUGGAAACGACUGCUAAUACCGCAUAAGCCCACGGCCCGGCAUCGGGCUGAGGGAAAAGGAUUUAUUCGCUUCAGGAUGGACUCGCGUCCAAUUAGCUAGUUGGUGAGGUAACGGCCCACCAAGGCGACGAUUGGUAGCCGGACUGAGAGGUUGAACGGCCACAUUGGGACUGAGACACGGCCCAGACUCCUACGGGAGGCAGCAGUGGGGGAUAUUGCACAAUGGGGGAAACCCUGAUGCAGCGACGCCGCGUGGAGGAAGAAGGUUUUCGGAUUGUAAACUCCUGUCGUUAGGGACGAUAAUGACGGUACCUAACAAGAAAGCACCGGCUAACUACGUGCCAGCAGCCGCAGUAA